UGCCUACACAUGCAAGUCGUACGAGGGUUUUUAACCCUAGUGGCGGACGGGUGAGUAACACGUGAGAAUUUGCCUUUAGGAGGGGGAUAACAAUCGGAAACGAAUGCUAAUACCCCAUAUGCUUUUGAGUAAAAUGGAUCUAUCCGCCUAAAGAGAAGCUCGCGGCUGAUUAGCUUGUUGGUGAGGUAAGAGCUUACCAAGGCGACGAUCAGUAUCUGGUUUGAGAGGACGAUCAGACACACUGGAACUGAGACACGGUCCAGACUCCUACGGGAGGCAGCAGUGGGGAAUUUUCCGCAAUGGGCGAAAGCCUGACGGAGCAAUACCGCGUGAGGGAAGACUGCCUAUGGGUUGUAAACCUCUUUUUUCAGGGAGGAACAAAAUGACGUGUACCUGAAGAAUAAGCAUCGGCUAACUCCGUGCCAGCAGCCGCGGUAAGACGGAGGAUGCAAGUGUUAUCCGGAAUCACUGGGCGUAGAGCGUCUGUAGGUGGUUUAAUAAGUCAACUGUUAAAUCUUGAGGCUCAACUUCAAAAUCGCAGUCGAAACUAUUAGACUAGAGUAUAGUAGAGGUAAAGGGAAUUUCCAGUGGAGCGGUGAAAUGCGUAGAUAUUGGAAAGAACACCGAUGGCGAAAGCACUUUACUGGGCUAUUACUAACACUCAGAGACGAAAGCUAGGGUAGCAAAUGGGGAUUAGAUACCCCAGUAGUCCUAGCCGUAAACUAUGGAUACUAGAUGUUGAACAGAUCGACCUGUGCAGUAUCAAAGCUAACGCGUUAAGUAUCCCGCCUG
rnacentral:rRNA from 1 species